GACGAACGCUGGCGGCGUGCCUAAUACAUGCAAGUAGAACGCUGAAGGAGGAGCUUGCUCUUCUGGAUGAGUUGCGAACGGGUGAGUAACGCGUAGGUAACCUGCCUGGUAGCGGGGGAUAACUAUUGGAAACGAUAGCUAAUACCGCAUAACAGUAGAUGUUGCAUGACAUUUGCUUAAAAGGUGCAAUUGCAUCACUACCAGAUGGACCUGCGUUGUAUUAGCUAGUUGGUGGGGUAACGGCUCACCAAGGCGACGAUACAUAGCCGCCCUGCGAGGGUGAUCGGCCACCCUGGGACUGAGACACGGCCCAGAAUCCUACGGGAGGCAGCAGUAGGGAAUCUUCGGCAAUGGACGGAAGUCUGACCGAGCAACGCCGCGGGAGUGAAGAAGGUUUUCGGGUCGUAAAGCUCGGUUGUAAGAGAAGAAAGAGUGUGAGAGUGGAAAGUUCACACUGUGACGGUAUCUUACCAGAAAGGGACGGCUAACUACGUG
rnacentral:rRNA from 1 species